rnacentral:rRNA from 1 species
UACGGAGGGGGCUAGCGUUGUUCGGAGUUACUGGGCGUAAAGCGCACGUAGGCGGCUUUGCAAGUUAGAGGUGAAAGCCCGGGGCUCAACCCCGGAAUUGCCUUUAAAACUGCAUCGCUAGAAUUGUGGAGAGGUAAGUGGAAUUCCGAGUGUAGAGGUGAAAUUCGUAGAUAUUCGGAAGAACACCAGUGGCGAAGGCGACUUACUGGACACAUAUUGACGCUGAGGUGCGAAAGCGUGGGGAGCAAACAGG